rnacentral:rRNA from 1 species
GAGUUUGAUUAUGGCUCAGGAUGAACGCUGGCGGCGUGCCUAACACAUGCAAGUCGAACGAAGCAUAUAGAAGGAAGUUUUCGGAUGGAAUUUUAUAUGACUUAGUGGCGGACGGGUGAGUAACGCGUGGAUAAUCUGCCUUACACAGCGGGAUAACAAGUGGAAACAGUUGCUAAUACCGCAUAAGCACACAGUAUCGCAUGAUACAGGGUGAAAGGAUUUAUCGGUGUAAGAUGAGUCCGCGUCCCAUUAGCUAGUUGGUGAGGUAAAAGCUUACCAAGGCGACGAUGGGUAGCCGGCCUGAGAGGGUGAACGGCCACAUUGGGACUGAGACACGGCCCAGACUCCUACGGGAGGCAGCAGUGGGGGAUAUUGCACAAUGGGCGAAAGCCUGAUGCAGCGACGCCGCGUGAUGGAUGAAGUAUUUCGGUAUGUAAACUUCUAUCAGCAGGGAAGAAAAUGA